rnacentral:rRNA from 1 species
AGAAGGUAGCAGCUUUGGCUGUGUUAUAGCUCUGGAGCGAUACAGUGGGGGGGACUGAGGUUUUCGCAGUGUGUGCUCUCGGGCAAGGUCGACUGGGUGCUAUGUGAUCGUUCGGCGUACAAUGCAUGCAUUUUGCGUCGUGUCUUUUAUAUACUCGCCUGAAUCGACUCUUCCACGCUUAGGAUGUUGACUUAAUGGUUUUAAACGA